rnacentral:rRNA from 1 species
AUACAGGGUGACAGCCCCGUACACAAAAAUGCACAUGCUGUGAGCUCGAUGAGUAGGGCGGGACACGUGGUAUCCUGUCUGAAUAUGGGGGGACCAUCCUCCAAGGCUAAAUACUCCUGACUGACCGAUAGUGAACCAGUACCGUGAGGGAAAGGCGAAAAGAACCCCGGCGAGGGGAGUGAAAAAGAACCUGAAACCGUGUACGUACAAGCAGUGGGAGCACGCUUAGGCGUGUGACUGCGUACCUUUUGUAUAAUGGGUCAGCGACUUAUAUUCUGUAGCAAGGUUAACCGAAUAGGGGAGCCGAAGGGAAACCGAGUCUUAACUGGGCGUUAAGUUGCAGGGUAUAGACCCGAAACCCGGUGAUCUAGCCAUGGGCAGGUUGAAGGUUGGGUAACACUAACUGGAGGACCGAACCGACUAAUGUUGAAAAAUUAGCGGAUGACUUGUGGCUGGGGGUGAAAGGCCAAUCAAACCGGGAGAUAGCUGGUUCUCCCCGAAAGCUAUUUAGGUAGCGCCUCGUGAAUUCAUCUCCGGGGGUAGAGCACUGUUUCGGCAAGGGGGUCAUCCCGACUUACCAACCCGAUGCAAACUGCGAAUACCGGAGAAUGUUAUCACGGGAGACACACGGCGGGUGCUAACGUCCGUCGUGAAGAGGGAAACAACCCAGACCGCCAGCUAAGGUCCCAAAGUCAUGGUUAAGUGGGAAACGAUGUGGGAAGGCCCAGACAGCCAGGAUGUUGGCUUAGAAGCAGCCAUCAUUUAAAGAAAGCGUAAUAGCUCACUGGUCGAGUCGGCCUGCGCGGAAGAUGUAACGGGGCUAAACCAUGCACCGAAGCUGCGGCAGCGACGCUUAUGCGUUGUUGGGUA